UACGUAGGGCGCAAGCGUGUCCGGAAUUAUUGGGCGUAAAGAGCUCGUAGGCGGCCUGUUACGUCUGCUGUGAAAUCCCGGGGCUUAACCCCGGGCGUGCAGUGGAUACGGGCAGGCUGGGGGCAGGCAGGGGAGAACGGAAUUCCCGGUGUAGCGGUGAAAUGCGCAGAGUAUCGGGAGGAACACCGGUGGCGAAGGCGGUUCUCUGGGCCUGUACUGACGCUGAGGAGCGAAAGCGUGGGGAGCGAACAGG
rnacentral:rRNA from 1 species